rnacentral:rRNA from 1 species
GUAAGAGCAUUUAGUGGAUGCCUUGGCAAUCAGAGGCGAAGAAGGACGUGAUACACUGCGAAAAGCUGCGGGGAGCUGUGAAUAGGCACUGAUCCGCGGAUAUCCGAAUGGGGAAACCCGGCCAGCGAUGGUCACCUUAACACGAAUAGAUAGUGUAUAAGGAGCGAACGCAGGGAACUGAAACAUCUAAGUACCUGCAGGAAAGGAAAUCAACCGAGACUCCGAGAGUAGUGGCGAGCGAAAUCGGACCAGCCGAUGGAUAAUCAGGGAAGGAACCGGAACGACAUGGAAAGGUCGAUCGAAGAGGGUGAUAAUCCCGUAGGGGAAGGAGAACUGAUUAUUCUUGAGUAGGGCGGAGCACGAGGAAUUCUGUCUGAAGAUGGGGAGACCACUCUCCAAGGCUAAGUACUACUGAUUGACCGAUAGUGGACGAGUACCGUGAGGGAAAGGUGAAAAGAACCCCUAUAAGGGGAGUGAAAGAGAACCUGAAACUGAAUGCUUACAAGCAGUCGGAGGAGCAUUAAGCUCUGACGGCGUACCUUUUGUAUAAUGGGUCAGCGACUUAGUGUAUGUAGCAAGCUUAAGCCGAUAGGUGGAGGCGCAGCGAAAGCGAGUUUUAAUAGAGCGAUAAGUUACAUACAUUAGACCCGAAACCGAGUGAUCUAGCCAUGAUCAGGUUGAAGGUUGGGUAACACCAACUGGAGGACCGAACCCACGCCUGUUGAAAAAGUCGGGGAUGAAUUGUGGCUAGGGGUGAAAGGCCAAUCAAACUCGGAAAUAGCUGGUUCUCCGCGAAAACUAUUUAGGUAGUGCGGUGUCCGGACACGUUGAGGGGUAGAGCACUGAAAGAACUAGAGGGGAGCGAUCCUUAUCAAAUUCUAUCAAACUCCGAAUACUCAACAGUGAUAGACACCAGACAGACAGUAGGUGCUAAGGUCUAUUGUCGAGAGGGAAAGAGCCCAGACCGUCAAUUAAGGUCCCAAAAUUAUGGCUAAGUGGUAAAGGAAGUGGAUUGUCCAAAACAGUCAGGAGGUUGGCUUAGAAGCAGCCAUCCUUUAAAGAAAGCGUAAUAGCUCACUGAUCUAAGUAAGACGAUUUGCGCCGAAGAUGUAACGGGGCUAAAGCCAUAUACCGAAAUUACGGAUUUGCAUGAAUGUGCAAGUGGUAGCGGAGCGUUCUGUAGGCCUGCGAAGGCGAACUGUAAGGUUUGCUGGAGGUAUCAGAAGUGAGAAUGCUGACAUGAGUAGCGAAAAGGAGAGUGAGAGACUCUCCCGCUGAAAGUCCAAGGUUUCCUGCGUAAAGCUAAUCUGCGCAGGGUUAGUCGGCCCCUAAGGCGAGGCAGAGAUGCGUAGUCGAUGGGAACAAGGUUAAUAUUCCUUGACCGGCUCGGAAGUGACGGAUUGCAGAGAUUGUGACUGAUUACUGGAUUUUGGUUGCAGUUGAGCAGUCCCGGGAAAUAGCCCGAGCGAAGACCGUACCCGAAACCGACACAGGUGGACAGGUAGAGAAUACCAAAGCGCUUGAGAGAACUAUGUUGAAGGAACUAGGCAAAAUACUUGCGUAACUUCGGGAUAAGCAAGCCCGAUUUUGAGGCAACUCGAGGUCGGGGGCACAUACUAGGGGGUAGCGACUGUUUACUAAAAACACAGGGCUCUGCUAAAUUGAAAGAUGAAGUAUAGGGUCUGACGCCUGCCCGGUGCUGGAAGGUUAAGGAGAGAUGUGAGAGCAUUGAACCGAAGCCCCAGUAAACGGCGGCCGUAACUAUAACGGUCCUAAGGUAGCGAAAUUCCUUGUCGGGUAAGUUCCGACCUGCACGAAUGGCGUAACGACUUCCCCGCUGUCUCCAACAUAGGCUCAGCGAAAUUGAACUCUGAGUUAAGAUGCUCAGUACCCGCGGUUAGACGGAAAGACCCCGUGAACCUUUACUAUAGCUUUGCAGUGGUAUUAGGUGACGAAUGUGUAGGAUAGGUGGGAUGCUAUGAAUCUGUGACGCCAGUUGCAGAGGAGCAGACGUUGAAAUACCACCCUUUUGUUAUUUGAUAUCUAACCUGCUUCCGUAAGCCGGAAGAGGGACCCUGCAUGGUGGGUAGUUUGACUGGGGCGGUCGCCUCCCAAAGAGUAACGGAGGCGUGCAAAGGUUAGCUCAGACUGGACGGAAAUCAGUCGUUGAGUGCAAUGGCAUAAGCUAGCCUGACUGCGAGAGAGACAUUUCGAGCAGAGACGAAAGUCGGUCAUAGUGAUCCGGUGGUCCCGAGUGGAAGGGCCAUCGCUCAACGGAUAAAAGGUACUCCGGGGAUAACAGGCUGAUUCCGCCCAAGAGUUCACAUCGACGGCGGAGUUUGGCACCUCGAUGUCGGCUCAUCACAUCCUGGGGCUGGAGAAGGUCCCAAGGGUUCGGCUGUUCGCCGAUUAAAGUGGUACGCGAGCUGGGUUUAGAACGUCGUGAGACAGUUCGGUCCCUAUC